rnacentral:rRNA from 1 species
GUCUUUUUGUUAAUAAUUUAAAGUCGAAUCUGCCCACUGAUUAUAAUUAAAGGGCUGCAGUAUAUUGACUGUACAAAGGUAGCAUAAUAAUUAGUCUUUUAAUUGAAGACUUGUAUGAAAGAUUUGAUGAGAUAUAAACUGUCUCUUUUUUAUAAUUUGAAUUUAAUUUUUUAGUAAAAAAGCUAAAAUAAAUUUAAAAGACGAGAAGACCCUAUAGAGUUUUAUAUUUAAUUUAAUUAUGAAUUUAUAUUUAAAUUAAAAAUUAAUUAUAUUAAUUAUUUUAUUGGGGUGAUAGAAAAAUUAAAAUAACUUUUUUUAAAUAUAAAACAUUAAUUAAUGAAUAUAUGAUCCAUAUUUUAUGAUUAUAAGAAAAAAUUACCUUAGGGAUAACAGCGUAAUUUUUUUUUUUAGUUCUUAUAAGAAAAAAAGUUUGCGACCUCGAUGUUGGAUUAAGAUAAAAUUUAAAUGUAGAAGUUUAAAAUUUUGAUCUGUUCGAUCAUUAAAAUCUUACA